AGCCACAUGAAUAUAUAUUUGGUGCUUUCUGCCCAGUGAUUUUUUAACGGCCGCAGUACUUUGACUGUGCUAAGGUAGCAUAAUCAAUUGGCUUUUAAUUGAAGUCUGGAAUGAAUGGAAUAAUGGGAAGAUUCUGUUUCUAUUAAAGUUUUAUUAAGUUACUUAAAAGGUGAAAAUACCUUUAUAAUUAUAAAAGACGAGAAGACCCUUAGAGUUUUUUUGUUGGGGUGACAGGAAAACAAACCUUUCAGAAUGAAAAAAUAAACUACCUUAGGGAUAACAGCAUAAUAUUUUAUUAAGAUUGUGACCUCGAUGUUGGACUAGGAAAUUUAUAAUAAGAAAUUAAACGAUAUAGUUCUGUUCGAACUUUUUUUCCU
rnacentral:rRNA from 1 species